rnacentral:lncRNA from 1 species
AAUUCUUGAUUCAUUAUUUCGAGAUCUGGCAAUGUAUUAGGAUCCGGACAUGAAGUCCACAUGCAUGUCAUGUUAUUAAAAUCUGCAUUUAACAAAACUAAAAAGAGAAUUAGAAAAUUAAGAAGAUUAAGAAAAGAGACAUAUUUUUUUUUACUUUUGUUCAAUUAUUUGAAGAUAAAAGGGUUUACAUCGGAAAGUAAGACAAUAAAGUAAAGACAUUUGUAUCACAACCUGAGAUAAUUCGGACGCAAAAAGGAUAGCAAGACUGGCAACUGAGACUCUGUCUGAUGGGGAACUUUCAGACUUGGCAACUAUUUUUUCGCUUUUCUUCUAUCUCGGCAAUAGCUUCAAUAUCCUUCAGUUCCGAAUCAAAUUCCUUAGCUUCACAAAUCAUUCCAACUAUUGGCCUGGUAUUGUGGGCAGGCAACAUAUUGUUCAUCACAUCAGGAGUUUCUUCAUCCUGAAAAAUAAUUCUUUCAGCUUCAAUCAAAUCCCCAACUACCCUUUUGAGGGUCCAACAGUCCUCUGUAUUGUGUCCUACUGCUCCAUAGUGGUAUUCACAGAUACGAUCAUCUCGGUGCGAGGGGGACUCAGGGUUCGGCCAGUUCAGGGCCACUGACUGCAAUAGAUCUAGCCGGAUUAGCUCUUAGAACAAGCUUGAAUAUGAUUCACCAAUAGGAGUGAACUAAUUCUUUCUGAAAGGCUCUCCUAGGCGAGGACUGUAUUGGGAAUCAUUUGGUUGAGGAUCAUAUGGAUCUUGGUAAGGAUGGGCAUUUUCUGGGAGGUGGUGCUUGGUUUUGUGUAUAAUAUUAUGGAGCAGUGUUGGAUUGCACGCCCAUCAUCGCACAUGGAGGCGGCGCCACAACAUAAGCAUUAUCUUGAAGGGGAUAAUAGUAUGGUGGGACCAUAAGAGGCACAUAUGACUUGGUGAAUGACCUACGGGCCCCUAGAGCUUGAAAUCAUCAUGACUCUCUUUUCACUCCCAUUUCUGUUUAUCAAAUCCUCCAAACCAUUAUGAGAAAACUGUGAUGUGGCCUUAAAAGAAGCAUGACUCAAGAUUCGACCCGUUUUCAAACCAUUUUCAACCAUUUCCCCAAUUUUGAUAGCCUCGGCAAAUGGCUUACCCAUAGCAGACAUCAUGUUCUAGAAGUAGUCAGCCUUUUAGGCAUGCAGAAAAACCGUGACCAUUUCAGUUUCGUCCAUUUGAGGCUUUACCCUAGUAGCUUGCUCACGCCAUUUGACAGCAUAUUCGCAGAAGCUUUCCUCAGUUUUCUUUCUCAAAUUAGACAAGGAAUUUCUGUCGGGAGCGAUGUCCACAUUGUAUUGGAACUGGCAGACAAAAUCGCGAGCCAUAUCAACCCAACCGUGCCAAUGAGUAAUUUCUUGACCCGUAUACCGCUCAGAAGCGAUUACGGUGAGGCUUUCCCCUAAAUAGGCCAUUAGCAGCUUAGUUUUUCCAUCAACACCCCUCAAUUGUUGUAGUAUAAUUUCAUAUGAGCAACCGGGUCUCCAUGCCCAUUAUACUUCUCAAAUUUUGGCAUCUUGAAGCCAACUGGCAGGUGGACAUGGGGACGCAUACAAAGGUCAGAGUAUGACACACUCUUUUUACCACUCAGACCUUGCAUGUUUUUCAGGCUUUGUUCCAGUCUCUUCAUCUUUCAAGCCAUUUCCUUUUGCUUGGCGUUUUUAACAACUUUUCCUUGCCUCGCUGAGAGAUCAUAUCGCGAAGGUUGAGUGAAAGAGUAUGGGGUCACAUUUGUUAUUUUUGGUUGGAUCUGUGGACUCUGAAAGAUGAACAUUGGAGGCCAUGCCCUGGAAGCCGGUGCCUGGGGGCGAACCACAGAAGGAAUGACAUGAUCAUUGAACGACAUUGGAGGGUGCCCGCCUGGGAUGAGCGAGUUGGGCAUAGGGGUGUUGGUAACCUCACUUGACCUAGGGAUCAACUCAGGAACCUAGGGUUUGCACUUGGCGGUUCCCUACCAUUAGACCAGGCGUCCCACAUUUCCAUGAUGCGGAGAUGCAAUAUCUUAUUCUCUUUAGCAGCUGCUGAUUCUAACUAUAGAAUAGCCGAUGCUGGGUUAUCCUCAGGACCAAUGAUUGGUAGAUUACUUGCGGAGGCCAUCUGUGCCUUUUGAUUUUGUGAGGGAGGGAAGGCUAGACUACCAACAAAACCAACCGCCAAAACCUGACUAGUUUGCACAUCUAACAACCUUGUUAGUUUUGAAACAUUUAACAUAUAGAAAAUCGCACGUCGGGAUGCAAUGCACCUAACAGUUAAACGCUUCUACCGUGUGUUUGAACGGUUGCAUGUUUCAUCCCAGAUUUAACUAGCCCUUUUCACUCUAUACCUCUUUUCUUCAUUCCUGUCUCUCUUAAAUCAUUCUUGAUUUUUUCUUCCAUCUUGUUUUUGCCGCUCUUUUAUUUUUGCACUUUCUUUUUCUCUAUUUGUUUGUCACUAUUUAUUUCUUGUUGCUCUUUUUUUCACUUUUUCUUUCUUUUUCACUCAAUUUUUUUUCAGUUUAUUUUUCACUUAAUUUAUUUAUGGCUAUGAUCGAAUCCGAUGGGGAUUGCCAACGUAUCAUGACCCCGCAUGAAUUAGAUCUUGUGUAGUUCGGGAAGAUCGAUAAUGGAGUAAAUAAACUAACUCUUUUUUGGGGAAGUUGUUGAAAGAAAUGUUUUAAAAGAAGAAAGGAAAUAUUUUUUGAUUUUUCGAUUUUGAUUUUUCUUUUAUAUUUUGAAAGAAAGUCUUCUAUUCAUUUUCUUUUGAUUUGAACUUUGAAAAUUUUAAAAGUAAAAAAGAAAAAUAUUUUGUUUGAAUUUUUAUUUGUUUUCUCUUUUUCUAAAGAAGCAAGAAAAAUACUUUUGGCUUUUCGAUGUUGCCUCUUAAUUUUCUAUAGAGAGACUUUUAAGAAAGAGUUUUGGAUUAUUGAGUUUUUAUUUAUUUACAAAAGUACUUCUAAAGAAAAACAAAAAUAUUUUUUAGACUUCAAUUUUUCAAAAUUUUUAUGGCCAUUUACAAAAAAAAAGACAUCUAAAGAGUAUUUUACGGAUUUUUGUUUCAGAUGGUUUUUUUUCUGGAAAAAUACUUCAAAAGGAAGGAAACGCGUACUUUGGAUUUUGAUUUUUAUUGAUUUUUCUUUUUCGUAUGAAAGGCAUUUGAAAGAAGGAAACUAUUAUUUUUAGUUUAAAAACUAUUUUUUUUUUAAUUUUCCGAGGAAAGAUUUAUACAGAAGGAACUAAACAAAAAAAAUUUGGAUUAUUUUUUAAAAUUGGGGUCGAAACUGAUGAAGUUUGCAUACGUAUCUCACAUCCGGUGAAAAUGAGACCCGCGUAGUUUGGUCAGUUUUGAUGGAACUAGGAAAACGUGGCACUUGAAAUUAUUAUUAUUUUUGGCUCAUUUUGAAAUGACUUUUCUUUUUUCAGAAUUUCAAAAUUUUCUAAACCUACCUCUUACCUUCUUUUUUCCCCGUUUUUUUAUUUUCUUCCUCUAUUCUAGAAGUCGGUCAACAUACAGUCGAACAAACAAUGCGCAAGUAGCAUGUAAGAUGUAUCAGGAUGGCCUUUUUAAUUUGGAUACACCUGUUCUAGACAAACCCAACCCAUGUGUUAAGUUUCCAAAGUCAAAUGGACGUGAUGCAAACAAACGUUCCUACUAGGGAUAUGGUAUGAGCCUUUGUUAUACUAGGUUUAAAAUCUGAGUUCAUUGUUCUAGAACUGACUUACCCGAGCGGACAACUCAAGCCGAGAGAGGGGCGGCGUACGAAAAUACAAAAGCUUCGCCGGCUUAGCAACUUGUCCGAACCUCGUUCUAAAUGGAAUAAAACUCUAAAUAGAAGAGAAGGCACACAAAGUACACCCUUCUCCAUGAUGUAGAAGACUCACAGACAGAAAGAGUUUCGUACUAGUUUAUAUAUACAAUUCAACAAAUAUCAAAGCGGUAAAGUAUUUAACACUUUUUAGCAUGAAACAUGUAGGAAAAUCAUAUAAUAGAUAACCAAUCAUAAUAGCUAUUCUAAGAUCGAAUUCUUGAAACCUAAACUGAAAUUCUGGGUUCAUGUCCCCAACACAGUCGCUAGAGCUGUCACGCCUCCUUUUUUAUACACCUACCUCAGGGAUAAUGUAUAAGGGAGUUUUUUCAGUUUAAGUGACAUUAUUCGAAAUGGAAUUAUUUAUUUGUCAGAGUCCCCACUUGGGAUAGUUUAUUUGGUGUCCCAAGUCACCGGUUUAUUUUGAAUCCCAAAUCGAAAAUUUUUUGACUUUCCUUAUGAAAUCUGCGAACCAGAAACUCUGACUAAGGAAUUUUGUUAAUCCGGGGAAGGUGUUAGCCACCCCCAGAUUCCGUGGUUCUAGCACGGUCGCUUAAACUAUUACAAUUGGCCUAUUAUCUGAUUUUAAUACAUGUUUACCCUAUGGUGUAAUGUUAAAUUAUGUACCGCUUCUAAUUAAUUUUAAGGAAGAUUAAACGUCGUUUAAAACAUGUCUUUGGAUCGCUUCACAUGAACGCAUUUUUUUGGGAUUUGGAUCUAGGUCACAUGAAAUGUGCACCCGGGUUUAGGAAGUUAAUAGUAUUAAAAUAACGUGCCUGAAGCAACUACGCAUUAUUAAAUUUGCAAGAGCCGUGAAAAUUUGCUAAUGGCACGCCUCGAUUUCUAAAGAGUUAAAAUUAAUGAAAUGAGGUCCAUGAGUUUUGAAAAUUUAUUUGGUAUGGAACGUUUAGACUUAUUCUAACAAAAGGGUUAUAUAUUUUAAAAGGAAAUUAAAGGUGCUCGUAUUUUAAUCUAAUUUUAAAAAAAAAAGUUAUCGCAACCACAUCACGGGAAUAAUACCCAUAAUUGAAAUAAUAUAAUUGCGCCUACAUUAUUAUACAAAUAUUCAUAAGUCAAUUUGUUUUUCUAACUUCCUAUGAAAUUCGCUGAAGGUCAUACUAUGUGACAGAAGAAAUGUCGAAGUCAUCAAUCGACAUAUUUAUAUGACUAAAGGUGAAAAUGCAUUCAAUGCAAGUCACAAACUCAUUGAAUUUGGUCUUUGGUUCACGAUUUUAAAAUAUGACAUAGCUCAUGUGAUCUCAAACCAACAACAACAAUUAUUUAAACUUAAAAGAGAUCAAUCAGAAAUGUUUUGUCAAAAACUAACAUGUAUUACUUUGUGAUAAAGAUUCAGAAUGUUUUUUUUACAUUGAAACUAUAUGUAUGGUCAUGGAUCUUAAAUCGGUAUUUGAAAUCUGUCACAUUUUUUUUCCAACACAUUGAAAGACCGCAGAUGGCAUUGGGUGCGGCAGUAAUAAACUCUUUUACUAACAAUUUCCGCAGAAGAACUUUAAAUAUGUUCACAUUAGUGUAGCUACACCUAAAUCGAACUUUGUUUAUAGCUCAUGAUAUCACAAAAUCAACAACAACGACCAUUUAAAACUCAUCAUGGGAGCAGAAGAUUUCAGAUUUUUAUUCAAACUUAACGUCAGAUAUAAAGAAGACCUUUAUCAAACACAUAGGUGAACAAAUAUUGUAUAUAUCAUAACAUUACAGCAUCCAAACGAUAACUACAUUACCGAAGAUUGAAAUUGGUACCUCAACAGCAGUACAAACUGCAAUUAGCCAAAUAAAGGCAAGAGAUAAAGAGCAGGCACAUCAAUCCAGUGAAAUAGCCAAGUAGCUCCAAUUACUGACUAGAUUCAGUUUGAAAACCCAGGAAAGCGAUGUAGGAGAUCUCUUUGAAUCGAAAAACACAAACUAAUUAUUUUUGAGUGUAGAAAUCAACUCUUAUUCUAUUUUUUUUGAAGCUGGACAUUUCAGAUUUUAGAAAGGAAAUUUUUGACUUUCAAAAUCUGUUUUCAGAUGUUUCUCGCGUGUGUGUCAAGAUGUGUGCCUGUGUGAUUUUGUGAAGGGAUCUCAAAAUCAGAGAGGAGAUUGCUGAUUUUUACGGAAAAUGGAGGAGAAACUUUUUCAGCUCUCCAAACGUGCCGCCUCUGUAUAUUUUCAGAGGAAGGUCCCAAAAAUCUCUUCUCCUCCUUUUUAGGUGUAGG